UACAGAGGGUGCGAGCGUUAAUCGGAAUUACUGGGCGUAAAGCGCACGUAGUCGGCUCUGCAAGUCGGGUGUGAAAUCCCCGGGCUCAACCUGGGAACUGCAUCCGAGACUGCAUUGCUAGAGUAUGGGAGAGGGAAGCGGAAUUUCUGGUGUAGCAGUGAAAUGCGUAGAUAUCAGAAGGAACAUCAGUGGCGAAGGCGGCUUCCUGGACCAAUACUGACGAUCAGGUGCGAAAGCGUGGGGAGCAAACAGG
rnacentral:rRNA from 1 species